rnacentral:lncRNA from 1 species
AAGCUAGGGCAGCUCCGAUUUGAAACCAGAUUUCAACAUCAACGCGUGAAUCUGCCUCCUUUCCCUCAGUAAGCUCGACAGCAAACAAUUCCAGCAACAACAAGUGGGAUCGACGGGUAGAAAACUAUGAAUUAGGGCUUUGCAAUCGAUCCCUUGCCAGAAUUCAGGAAUCCCAUAUUAAAGGGGUUUUGCAGUAAUUUCGUGAGAAUUUCUUGAAGCUCGAGUACUUGAGAUUGGAGAGUAGGGCGAAUUAGAUUUCAGGAGAUUUUCCCUUCUGACCAAAAAUCGCGAGGAAGCCAGCGAAAACACCGAGAAUGAAACUAUCGAGGAUGAUGAUGGAAUCUAACUUUAGGAUUCUUUGAGGCUUGUUCCCAAAUCAGAUCGCAGCCAUAUCGAGAAUGAAACACCGCGA